rnacentral:rRNA from 1 species
GUGAGGAAUUUUGCGCAAUGGGGGAAACCCUGACGCAGCAACGCCGCGUGAGUGAUGAAGGCCUUCGGGUCGUAAAGCUCUGUCAAGUGGGAAGAACCCAUCCUGUGCGAACAGCACAGGGUGCUGACGGUACCACUGAAGGAAGCACCGGCUAACUCCGUGCCAGCAGCCGCGGUAAUACGGAGGGUGCAAGCGUUAUUCGGAAUUACUGGGCGUAAAGGGCGCGUAGGCGGCCGCUUAAGUCGGAUGUGAAAUCCCGGGGCUCAACCCCGGAAGUGCAUCUGAAACUGAGCGGCUUGAGUAUGGGAGAGGGAAGUGGAAUUCCUGGUGUAGAGGUGAAAUUCGUAGAUAUCAGGAGGAACACCGGUGGCGAAGGCGACUUCCUGGACUAAUACUGACGCUGAGGCGCGAAGGCGUGGGGAGCAAACAGGAUUAGAUACCCCAGUAGUCC